GCACUAUACAUUCUUCAAGUGUUUGAUGUCUUAUAUAGUUGUGUGGUUUUUUUAAUGGAAAUUUUCAGGGAGGCUGAGGCAGGAAGAUCACAAGUUUAGGCCCAGCCUGGACAAUUUAGCAACUUAGACCAGGUCUCAAAAUAAUAGUAAUAGGGCAAGGGAUUUAGCUCAGUGGUUUUGCCACCUGCUGAGCAAGCACAAGGACCUGAGUUUGAUCCCUGGUACCAUAAAAUAAAAUAAUAAUGAUGAUGAUGAUGAUGAUGAUAAAUAAUAAUAAAAAGGGUUGGGGAAAUAGCUCACUGCAUAGGCCCUGGGUUCAAUCCCAGUAUGACAAGAAAAAGAAACCUACCAGUCCUUGUGAUAUAUGUAAAAGUAGACAUCUCAUUUCAUAUUCAAAAUAACCAUAUGUGAUAAAAACUACCAUUAUCUUCCCCAUUUUACAAAUGAAGAAAGUGAGACUUAUAGAAGUUAAUUUUCCAUAGUUCCCACAACGGUAAGUGCAGAGACAGGAAACAUAUAGAUUUGGAUGACAGACAUGCUAGAUCUUCUCCAAAGAUCUCAAAAAGCAGUUGAUGCUAUUUUAUCUCACAUAUAGCUUACUGACAGUUAUAAUGUUGGAUACAUAGGGAAGUGUUUCAUGUCUUUUUUAAAAACUUUGGUGCUGCUGGGGAUCAAACCCAGAGCCUUGUGUAUGGUAAGCCAGCACUUUUAACCACUAAGCUAUAUCCCCAGCCCCAGUAUGUUAUUUUUAAUUUUUUAAUGAUGAUGGAAUAUCCAAGUUUUGGACAAAGUUUGGAUAAGAAACAAUUCACACAUACAUAACUUCACAGAAAAGAUGGUCCUUCAUUCACUAGUUAGAAGUCAUUUCGAAAUGAUACUCAUUUUGUUUGUAGUGACAGUAAAUACCAGUACUAGCAGUUACUCUUAUGUAAUUUGGCUUCCAUUUCAAUAAUUGUUAUAUUCUUUUUCUUACCAUGUAAGAAAGUAUACAUUUGCUGAGUGUUUUCAAAUAUGUAACCUAAACCUUUCUGAAAAUUUAGAACAUGCAAUUAUCCGGAAGAUUUUCCACUUCCCCAGCCUGGUCCACCCCUACCACCUCUCAGGUACAACUACUGCUCUGAUUCUUUUGUAUCCCAGGUUAAAUUUGCCUAUCAUAAAACUUAAUAAAAUUUCUUUCAACAUAA
rnacentral:lncRNA from 1 species